rnacentral:ncRNA from 1 species
CGAUGACCAAUUUGUGAAUUUAGCUAUAGUCGAGGGACUAAUUUAGGUAUUUACUCUUUUUUUAGUGUACCUCUUGAAAGAGAGGGGUGCCUUGGGGAACGCGGACAUAGGUAGUGCAUGGCUGUCGACAGCUCGUGCCUUAAAUGUUGGGUUAAGUCUCGCAACGAGCGCAACCCUCGUUUUUAGUUGCCACGUUGAAUUUGGAAUCCUGAACAGACUACCAGUGAUAAGCCGGAGGAAGGUGAGGAUGACGUCAAGUCAUCAUGCUCCUUAUGCCCUGGGCGACACACAUGCUACAAUGACCGGGACCAAGGGUUGCGAUCCCGCAAGGGUGAGCUAACCCCAAAACCCGUCCUCAGUUUGGAUUGCAGGCUGCAACUUGCCUGCGUGAAGCCGGAAUCG